UCAAGUGAAUAAGUGCAUACGGUGGAUGCCUUGGCAGUCAGAGGCGAUGAAAGACGUGGUAGCCUGCGAAAAGCUUCGGGGAGGUGGCAAACAACCUUUGAUCCGGAGAUAUCUGAAUGGGGAAACCCACGCGGGGUUAAUGCCCGCGUAUCAUUAACUGAAUACAUAGGUUAAUGAGGCGAACGGGGGGAAGUGAAACAUCUCAGUACCCCUAGGAAAAGAAAUCAACCGAGAUUCCCUUAGUAGCGGCGAGCGAACGGGGACCAGCCCUUAAGUUGAUUAUGUUUUAGCGGAACGCUCUGGAAAGUGCGGCCAUAGUGGGUGAUAGCCCCGUACGCGAAAAGGCAUUUUCAAUGAAAACGAGUAGGACGAGGCACGUGAAACCUUGUCUGAACAUGGGGGGACCAUCCUCCAAGGCUAAAUACUCCUGACUGACCGAUAGUGAACUAGUACCGUGAGGGAAAGGCGAAAAGAACCCCGGAGAGGGGAGUGAAAUAGAUCCUGAAACCGUAUGCAUACAAGCAGUGGGAGCGGACUUGUUCCGUGACUGCGUACCUUUUGUAUAAUGGGUCAGCGAAUUACUUUCAGUAGCGAGGUUAACCGUGUAGGGGAGCCGUAGGGAAACCGAGUCUUAAUAGGGCGUAUAGUUGCUGGGAGUAGACCCGAAACCGGGCGAUCUAGCCAUGAGCAGGAUGAAGGUGCCGUAACAGGCACUGGAGGUCCGAACCCACCGUCGUUGAAAAGCCGGGGGAUGACUUGUGGUUAGGGGUGAAAGGCUAAUCAAGCUCGGUGAUAGCUGGUUCUCCCCGAAAGCUAUUUAGGUAGCGCCUCGGACGAAUACCAUUGGGGGUAGAGCACUGUUUCGGCUAGGGGGUCAUCCCGACUUACCAAACCGAUGCAAACUCCGAAUACCGUGAAGUGAUAUCCGGGAGACAGACGGUGGGUGCUAAUGUCCAUCGUCAAGAGGGAAACAACCCAGACCGCCAGCUAAGGCCCCAAAUUUCUAGUUAAGUGGGAAACGAUGUGGGAAGGCAUAGACAGCUAGGAGGUUGGCUUAGAAGCAGCCACCCUUUAAAGAAAGCGUAAUAGCUCACUAGUCGAGUCGGCCUGCGCGGAAGAUGUAACGGGGCUAAAACUAGAAGCCGAAGCUGCGGAUGCAUAUUUUAUAUGCGUGGUAGGGGAGCGUUCUGUAAGUCUGCGAAGGUGAGUUGAGAAGCUUGCUGGAGAUAUCAGAAGUGCGAAUGCUGACGUGAGUAACGACAAGGGGAGUGAAAAACUUCCCCGCCGGAAGACCAAGGGUUCCUGCUCAACGUUAAUCGGAGCAGGGUGAGUCGACCCCUAAGGCGAGGCUGAGAAGCGUAGUCGAUGGGAAACAGGUUAAUAUUCCUGUACCUUUUACUGAUGCGAUGGAGGGACGGAGAAGGCUAUAUCUACCAGCGAUUGGUUGUGCUGGGGAAAGGUUGUAGGCAUGUGUCUUAGGCAAAUCCGGGACACUCUAUGCUGAGAACUGAGACGAACCUGUACUUGUACGGGGAAGUGAUAGAUGCCAUGCUUCCAAGAAAAGCUCCUAAGCUUCAGUCAGUAAGGGAUCGUACCCGAAACCGACACAGGUGGUCAGGUCGAGAAGACCAAGGCGCUUGAGAGAACUCUGCUGAAGGAACUAGGCAAAAUAGCACCGUAACUUCGGGAGAAGGUACGCUGUUGAUGGUGAAGGAUUUACUCCGUAAGCUAUCGGCAGCCUCAGAAACCAGGCCGCUGCAACUGUUUAUUAAAAACACAGCACUCUGCAAACACGAAAGUGGACGUAUAGGGUGUGACGCCUGCCCGGUGCCGGAAGGUUAAUUGAUGGGGUCAGCCGCAAGGCGAAGCUCUUGAUCGAAGCCCCGGUAAACGGCGGCCGUAACUAUAACGGUCCUAAGGUAGCGAAAUUCCUUGUCGGGUAAGUUCCGACCUGCACGAAUGGCGUAAUGAUGGCGGCACUGUCUCCAGCAGAGACUCAGUGAAAUCGAAAUCGCGGUGAAGAUGCCGUGUACC
rnacentral:rRNA from 1 species